UUUCCAGCAUCCCCAUCCUGGUUCCUGCUGCUCUCUUUUACCAGGUGGCCAUGACCCAUGAGGAGGACAAAACCACUGCCAUCAAAUCAGUUUAAAGCCAUUGCCCCCUGUCCUGGCACUACAAGCUCUUGCAAAGUCAUUGAAUGGAAUCACAGGAUCAUGAAGUGCCUGCAGGUUGAUCCAGUCCUACAGCUGCAAUCUUU